UAGGGAAUCUUCCGCAAUGGACGCAAGUCUGACGGAGCAACGCCGCGUGAGUGAAGAAGGAUUUCGGUUCGUAAAACUCUGUUGUUAGAGAAGAACAGCGCAUAGAGUAGCUGUUAUGCGUGUGACGGUAUCUAACCAGAAAGCCACGGCUAACUACGUGCCAGCAGCCGCGGUAAUACGUAGGUGGCAAGCGUUGUCCGGAUUUAUUGGGCGUAAAGCGAGCGCAGGCGGUCAAUUAAGUCUGAUGUGAAAGCCCCCGGCUCAACCGGGGAGGGUCAUUGGAAACUGGUUGACUUGAGUGCAGAAGAGGAGAGUGGAAUUCCAUGUGUAGCGGUGAAAUGCGUAGAUAUAUGGAAGAACACCAGUGGCGAAGGCGACUCUCUGGUCUGUAACUGACGCUGAGGCUCGAAAGCGUGGGUAGCAAACAGG
rnacentral:rRNA from 1 species